GAUGAACGCUGGCGGCGUGCCUAAUACAUGCAAGUCGAGCGAACAGACGAGGAGCUUGCUCCUCUGACGUUAGCGGCGGACGGGUGAGUAACACGUGGAUAACCUACCUAUAAGACUGGGAUAACUUCGGGAAACCGGAGCUAAUACCGGAUAAUAUAUUGAACCGCAUGGUUCAAUAGUGAAAGACGGUUUUGCUGUCACUUAUAGAUGGAUCCGCGCCGCAUUAGCUAGUUGGUAAGGUAACGGCUUACCAAGGCGACUAUGCGUAGCCGACCUUAGAGGGUGAUCGGCCACACUGGAACUGAGACACGGUCCAGACUCCUACGGGAGGCAGCAGUAGGGAAUCUUCCGCAAUGGGCGAAAGCCUGACGGAGCAACGCCGCGUGAGUGAUGAAGGUCUUCGGAUCGUAAAACUCUGUUAUUAGGGAAGAACAAAUGUGUAAGUAACUAUGCACGUCUUGACGGUACCUAAUCAGAAAGCCACGGCUAACUACGUG
rnacentral:rRNA from 1 species